CCCCUUCGAAAAGCACUCAUUGGGCCUUUUGCUAAUGACCCACUGAGCCUUCGAGAAAGGGCAAAGUGAAAACACAGCUUUUGGGUGAAGUGGCAGCGUGUUGUGUUGUUUCAUUUCAAUCGGUGGCGUGACAAGG